CCUACGGGGGGCAGCAGUGGGGAAUAUUGGGCAAUGGAGGCAACUCUGACCCAGCAACGCCGCGUGAAUGAUGAAGGCCUUCGGGUUGUAAAGCUCUUUAAUCAGGGACGAAGAAUGACGGUACCGGAAGAAUAAGCUCCGGCUAACUACGUGCCAGCAGCCGCGGUAAUACGUAGGGAGCAAGCGUUAUCCGGAUUUCCUGGGUGUAAAGGGCGUGUAGGCGGGCUUGCAAGGCAGAAGUGAAAUCUGGGGGCUUAACCCCCAAACCGCUUUUGAAACUGUGGGUCUGGAGUGAUGGAGAGGCAGGCGGAAUUCCCAGUGUAGCGGUGAAAUGCGUAGAUAUUGGGAGGAACACCAGUGGCGAAGGCGGCCUGCUGGACAUUAACUGACGCUGAGGCGCGAAAGCGUGGGGAGCAAACAGGAUUAGAUACCCUUGUAGUC
rnacentral:rRNA from 1 species